CGUUUUUUUAUCAUGCAACUAUAAAAUUACAUUAAAAAGCAAGUACAACUCAAAUAAAGAUGAAAGCAAAGAAACAAAGGUUGUAUGCUCACAGCACCAUGGGACAGAAACCUAACUCAAAAGCUUAAUCCAGCCGAACAAAAACUUUGGACGGCCACGAAUUCCUGCACCGUUGACUGACCGACACUCGCAAAUUCCUGCAUUGCCAAUCAAUCAACACCGCCAAAAUAUUCAUCUUGCAGAAGAUGAUGAACGGAACAGUCGAUGAUUUAGAGAACUAUGCGAUAUUUGAAAACCAUCGCCAAGCCAUCUAAUUGUGAACAUGCAAGUUAAGAGCAAAUACAAUCAGAAGUCUAGAAGAACAACCCCAACUAAUGGCAGCAAACUGGUGAAAAUCCAUAUGCACAAGUCGCACGAAAAUAUGGCGGCCAAAACCACCAUCUAUAAAACCAUCGUCCAAAAACACCAAAACCACCAUCCAUAAAACCAUCAUUCAAAAACACGAAUCAGAAACUCUAAGUACUCACCAUUGACUAUACCAAAAGACCUAGCCAAUUUAUGAUAUUUUCAAUUUGUUAUAAUUAUGAAACCAUCAAAUAGAGUUUUACUAGACUCCAACGCCGAAAAGCCAUCGACCAGCACUCAUUAAAUAUAAUCAAAUUCGCCAAAGACAAAACACAUACUAAAAUGCACUCCGAGAUUUAGUCUGGUGAAAAGUGCAUCCUGAUAGAUCUGAGAGAUCUAAGGUUCGACUCCCCCAACUCCUAUUUCAAAGACUAAAAUAACAGAAAUCAAAAUUCAAUAAAAACCUCACCAUCAAAUAACAAACUACAAAAAUCAAUCCUAAAUCCAAAAAUCAUCUUCUAAAAUAGAACUAAUAAAACGCCAAAAACUAAAUAAUAUUGAGCCAAAGAGAGAAUCAAGAUCGAGAUUUCCAAUCCCGGCGAAAAAGAUGCGUCUCUCCCUUGCUGGUGUUAUAUAAA
rnacentral:lncRNA from 1 species